CCAUUUUGAUGGUUUAUGAUGGGCCCUUCUCUGUAGGCCUCUCAUAGUGCACCCACGCCAGCAUAAUCACAGCCUCGAAUCACUGCCCAGCCUCCUUACCUGUGAGCUGUGAGUACUGAAGGAGGUUGUACAGUG